UUUGGUGACGAUGCGAUUUUGGGAAACACCCGUUUCCAUAUCGAACACGAUGGUUAAGCUAAAAUCGGCUGACGGUACUUGUUUGGAGACGAACAGGGAGAAUAAGUGGUUG
rnacentral:rRNA from 1 species